AGCCUGGUGGUGGAAUUGGUAGACACGCAGGACUUAAAAUCCUGUGACCAUUGCGGUCGUGCGGGUUCAAGUCCCGCCCGGGGUA
rnacentral:tRNA from 1 species